ACGAACGCUGGCGGCAGGCCUAACACAUGCAAGUCGAACGCUCGUAGCAAUACGAGAGUGGCAGACGGGUGAGUAACGCGUGGGAACCUUCCCUAUGGUUCGGAAUAGCCCAGGGAAACUUGGGGUAAUACCGGAUAAGCCCUUCGGGGGAAAGAUUUAUCGCCAUUGGAUGGGCCCGCGUCGGAUUAGCUAGUUGGUGAGGUAACGGCUCACCAAGGCGACGAUCCGUAGCUGGUCUGAGAGGAUGAUCAGCCACACUGGGACUGAGACACGGCCCAGACUCCUACGGGAGGCAGCAGUGGGGAAUAUUGGACAAUGGGCGAAAGCCUGAUCCAGCAAUGCCGCGUGAGUGAUGAAGGCCUUAGGGUUGUAAAGCUCUUUUACCCGGGAUGAUAAUGACAGUACCGGGAGAAUAAGCUCCGGCUAACUCCGU
rnacentral:rRNA from 1 species